rnacentral:rRNA from 1 species
UACGUAGGGUGCAAGCGUUAAUCGGAAUUACUGGGCGUAAAGCGUGCGCAGGCGGUUAUGUAAGACAGAUGUGAAAUGCCCGGGCUUAACCUGGGAACUGCAUUUGUGACUGCAUGGCUAGAGUGUGUCAGAGGGGGGGUAGAAUUCCACGUGUAGCAGUGAAAUGCGUAGAUAUGUGGAGGAACACCGAUGGCGAAGGCAGCCCCCCUGGGAUAACACUGACGCUCAUGCACGAAAGCGUGGGGGAGCAA